rnacentral:lncRNA from 1 species
GCGCAAAGCACAGCUUCCGCUCCUCACCUUUCCGGAAGCCCCACAACUCCACCUCAUCCUCCUCUUGAAGGUAACUGCAGUGCAAUAACCACGGGUAUUCCUUUCCUUUGAUCACGAUGGAUCCACUGGCGUCCCAACGAGUGAGCAGCAAGUGGGAAAUAAUCCGGUUCUGAGGGUACACAUCUACCUCCAAUCCCCCAUGAUUCCGUCCCUGAGCACGACUAGUACUGGGGGCAUUCCUCCUUGCUGUGGGCUGAAGAAGGCUGGCAGCGUCCUUCUCGCGCUCAGAGAGCAUGGCGAUGAGGUUGGCCGCAUAUUUAAAUGGGAUAAGGAGGCGGUUCUGCUGCUGAUGACUGAGGUCGGAGCUCGUGAUGGAUUUGGUCAUUAUGAACACGGGGUUACUGUCGCCGUGCGCGUAUGCCAAAUCUCUCACCCACUCCGGGACUCUAUUCGGAUUCAUGAUCUUCUUGAAAUUUGCUUGUAUAGAGCUAGCUAGGCUUCUGCUGAUGGGUUAGAGAACAGAGACCUGGUAAUGUCAUUAUAUAGAGUCCGGGAUUCCCCUCUCCUUUGGUGCAACUACUCCCUAGCGAUCUUCGAUUCCUCCCUUGAAAUUCCACUCCUUCAACCCCAUGGCACAUGCCAACGAGGUUUAAGAUACCAGGAUUUUUUUAUCCGCGUGCAUGUACACGCAUACUAAAAUCCAAGUUGGCGAAUGUUAAUCUUGAGUAUUUUAUUGGAUUUUUUUUUAGGGUAUCCUCAAAGAGUGUAGAGGUCAAACCUUCUUGGAAAUUCAUCAUGUUGCUCUCACGCUCCUCUCCCCUACAUGCUCUCACGUGCUCCCUCUUUGGGUUGGGGACUGCUGUUAGAGCUCGUAAGGAGGUGAUGAUUCUAAAAAGUGGCAGGACGAGAUGCUGAGAAAGGUCAGCAAUUCCUUGCAGGGGAGAGGGAGCACGUGAGAGCUUCUAGACUAAAUUUGAAAAACCAAGGCCCAAUCGUAUGACAUCUAUUACGAGAAGGUGACACAGACUAAUUCCAAGUCUUCAUCUAUCUAAAUUUUUUUAUUAUUAUUAUCAUCUUGGGCCGCAUAUGUUGCUUGGAAAGGUGAUAAAGAUUGAUUCACCGCGACAAUCUGAAUUUCUAAUAGCUACAAAAAUUAGCAUCGAAAAUACAUAAUAUCCUCAUUAAUAGUUUUAAUGAUGGUAUAUGGAGUUGUCACUCGCCGCCACUAAUACUUGAAUCACUAAUAGAUUACCAAUGGCUUUCAAAAUUGAUCAUUAUUAGUUAAGUUAAUAGUGAUGAUACCAUCAUUACUAAAAUUUAAUUUGGUCAUCAUUCACUUGUCAUUAUCCACUUCACACCCACGCUACUGAAGUUACCAAGCACCAUAAACAAAUCUGCUCGAGACAGUGGGUGGUGAAANNNNNNNNNNNNNNNNNNNNAUAAAGGUCAGCAAUUCCUUGCAGGGGAGAGGGAGCACGUGAGAGAUUCUAGACUAAAUUUGAAAAACCAAGGCCCAAUCGUAUGACAUCUAUUACGAGAAGG